CUCAAAUAAAAAUUAAUAAUAAGAACAAGAGACAAGCACAGGCUCAACAUAACUUAGACUCUUAAGAGAAUUAUUAUUAUUAUCUCCCAGGAAGUGAGGAACAGUAAAUAGUAGUACUAAAUAGAAACCCACAAGUGGGUCCCAUUCAUUUGCCGAAAGAGACGUAGAGUAAAUCUGUGUCAGUUGAAUGUGUGUCCACAUCGUCGCAAUUGAGGACGAUUGCUCGCCAAACUUACAAAUCCAUGAAAAUCUCAGAAAUUUUUGGGCAAUUAAUUAGAAGAAGAUGCGAGCGAAGAGAAAUAAAUAUGAAAAUUUUAUACACCAACUAUCAUACAUAAAGACAUCAAAGUCUCCGCAAAUAUUCCAAUACAUCUUCAAGAGAAGAAACUGCUAUAUGCAUGUGGCCAUCCUUUUUUCUUUUUCUGUACGGUAUCAAAGAAUUCAACAACAAAACCAAAAAAACGCAAGAGAAACAUCCUAAUUCCUAAGUUAAAACGCCCCGCAGAGACUAGCACAUGAUUGAUUUAUUUUUCUGUAUGGUAGGAUCAGUCGUCGGAGUUGUAGCCACUUGGAAUGGGUGAGGUAGAAGAAGGGGAGGUACGAGUAGUAGUGUGAGAAGUAGCAUCUCCAGUAGUAGUAGAGGUGGUCAAAGACGCAAAUGCCCUUGCAGACUUGAAGAGAGUUUUGAAAACCCUAAUCUUGACCAGCCCCCUCGGGGGUGGGAGCUUUCGUGGGGGCGUUUUAGCUCUGCUGUUAGUUCUGGUAACGGUGCGCUCUAAAUGAGGCAUCUCAACUUUUUUGCUUGAGAGAGAGAGGGAGGGUGUGAAUUUAAGAGGAGACAGCACGCUACAGGAGUCCCAAUAACUUGCCCUAGAAGAUUCAUUUGAGAACGGAUGGUUAUAGACGAUGCUGCCCCUCUCCUCAUGUGUUCUUGCAAAGGAAUCGCAGACUCAAACACAUUACUCUAGUUUGGAUUGGAUACGUCCAAAUAGUAUUUUAGUUUCUGCAUUGCACAAAAUAAAUAUUGAGUAUAUGUUAACAGAAGUGUUUGACUUUGUGUUGUUACAAUUUUAUUGUAUUUGUGAUGUGAUUUUUUGUUAUUACAUAAUAGGCUCUACAAGAAUUUACUAAAAU
rnacentral:lncRNA from 1 species